UCAAGUUAUUAAGGGUGCAGGGCGGAUGCCUUGGCACUAGGAGCCGAUGAAGGACGUGAUAAGCUGCGAUAAGCUUCGGGGAGUUGCACGUAAACUUUGAUCCGAAGAUUUCCGAAUGAGGAAACUCACUUAGAGUAAUGUCUAAGUAUCAUUAAGUGAAUACAUAGCUUAAUGAGGGGAACUCAGGGAACUGAAACAUCUAAGUACCUGAAGGAAGAGAAAGAAAUUCGAUUCCGUAAGUAGCGGCGAGCGAACGCGGAUUAGCCCAAACCAAUAAAGUUUUCUUUAUUGGGGUUGCGGACAUAUCAUAACGAAGAGGUAUCGUAAUUGAAGAGGUUUGGAAAGACCCACCACAGAAGGUAAUAGUCCUGUAUGUUAAACGAGAAGACUUUAGAUAUGAUCCAGAGUACCACGGGACACGUGAAACCCUGUGGGAAGCAGGAGGGACCACCCUCCAAGGCUAAAUACUACCUAGUGACCGAUAGCGUAUAGUACCGUGAGGGAAAGGUGAAAAGAACCCCGGGAGGGGAGUGAAAUAGAACCUGAAACCCUGCACUUACAAGCUGUGGAAGCACAUUUCUUGUGUGACCGCGUACUUUUUGUAGAACGGGCCAACGAGUUACGUUAAGUAGCAAGGUUAAGCACUUAAGGUGCGGAGCCGUAGCGAAAGCGAGUUUUAACUGAGCGUUCAGUUACUUGACGUAGACCCGAAACCGGGCGACCUACCCAUGAGCAGGAUGAAGCGAAAGUAAAAUUUCGUGGAGGUCCGAACCCACGAGCGUUGAAAAGCUCGGGGAUGACUUGUGGGUAGCGGUGAAAUUCCAAUCGAGCCCGGAGAUAGCUGGUUCUCCCCGAAAUAGCUUUAGGGCUAGCCUCAAGGUGAGAGAUACGGAGGUAGAGCACUGAAUGUCCUAGGGGGUAUUGCACCUACCGAAGACUAUCAAACUCCGAAUGCCGUCAUCUUAUACUUGGGAGUCAGACUGUGGGUGAUAAGAUUCAUAGUCGAAAGGGCAACAGCCCAGAUCGUCAGCUAAGGUCCCUAAAUGUAAGUUAAGUGGUAAAGGAUGUGGGAUUGCACAGACAACCAGGAUGUUGGCUUAGAAGCAGCCACUCAUUCAAAGAGUGCGUAAUAGCUCACUGGUCGAGUGAUCCUGCGCCGAAGAUUUCCGGGGCUAAAACUUACUACCGAAGCUACGGCAUCAUUAUGAUGGGUAGGGGAGCUUCCCAUACGGGUUGAAGCAUGACCGUAAGGACAUGUGGACAGUAUGGGAGUGAGAAUGUUGGCAUGAGUAGCGAGAUGUGGGUGAGAAUCCCACAGGCCGUAAACCCAAGGUUUCCAGGGGAAGGUUCGUCCGCCCUGGGUUAGUCGGGACCUAAGCUGAGGCCGAAAGGCGUAGGUGAUGGACAACAGGUUGAUAUUCCUGUACUACCGAUAACCGUUUGAGAGAAGGGAUGACACAGUAGGAUAAGCUAAGCACACUGUUGGUUAUGUGUGCCCAAGCAUUGAGGCAGUCAAAGUAGGCAAAUCCGCUUUGAUAAUGCUGGGAUGUGAUGGGGAGCGAAAUUUAGUAGCGAAGUAGCUGAUUUCACACUGUCAAGAAAAGUCUCUAUCGAGGUUAAAGGUACCCGUACCGCAAACCGACACAGGUGGGUGAGGAGAGUAUCCUAAGGCCAGCGAGAGAACUGUUGUUAAGGAACUCGGCAAAAUGACCCCGUAACUUAGGGAUAAGGGGUGCCACCAUCAGGUGGCCGCAGAGAAUAGGCCCAAGCGACUGUUUACCAAAAACAUAGGUUUCUGCUAAGUCGCAAGACGAUGUAUAGGAGCUGACGCCUGCCCGGUGCUGGAAGGUUAAGGGGAUCUGUUAGAGCAAUCGAAGCAGUGAACUUAAGCCCCAGUAAACGGCGGCCGUAACUAUAACGGUCCUAAGGUAGCGAAAUUCCUUGUCGGGUAAGUUCCGACCCGCACGAAAGGCGUAACGAUUUGGGCACUGUCUCAACAACAGACUCGGUGAAAUUGUAAUUCCGGUGAAGAUGCCGGAUACCUGCGACAGGACGGAAAGACCCCAUGGAGCUUUACUGUAGCUUGACAUUGGGUCUUGGUACUACAUGUACAGGAUAGGUGGGAGGCUUUGAAACCAGGACGCCAGUUUUGGCGGAGCCAUCCUUGGGAUACCACCCUUGUAGUACUGGGACUCUAACCAUAGGCCAUGAAUCUGGUCUUGGGACACUGUCAGGUGGGCAGUUUGACUGGGGCGGUCGCCUCCCAAAAGGUAACGGAGGCGCUCAAAGGUUCUCUCAGUACGGUCGGAAAUCGUACGUAGAGUGUAAAGGCAAAAGAGAGCUUGAUUGCAAGACAUACAGGUCGAGCAAGGAUGAAAAUCGGACUUAGUGAUCCGGUGGUUCUGCGUGGAAGGGCCAUCGCUCAACGGAUAAAAGCUACCCUGGGGAUAACAGGCUUAUCUCCCCCAAGAGUCCACAUCGACGGGGAGGUUUGGCACCUCGAUGUCGGCUCAUCACAUCCUGGGGCUGUAGUAGGUCCCAAGGGUUGGGCUGUUCGCCCAUUAAAGUGGUACGCGAGCUGGGUUCAGAACGUCGUGAGACAGUUCGGUCCCUAUCCGUCGCAGGCGUAGGAAAUUUGAGAAGACCUGUCCUUAGUACGAGAGGACCGGGAUGGACGUACCUCUGGUGUACCAGUUGUCCUGCCAAGGGCAUGGCUGGCUAGCUAUGUACGGAAUGGAUAAGCGCUGAAAGCAUCUAAGCGCGAAGCCAACUUCAAGAUAAGAUUUCCCACCGCAAGGGUAAGACCCCAGAAAGACUAUCUGGUUGAUAGGUCGAAGGUGUAAGUGCAGCAAUGUAUUUAGCUUAUCGAUACUAAUAGGUCGAGGACUUGACCAA
rnacentral:rRNA from 1 species